UACAGAGGGUGCAAGCGUUGUUCGGAAUUACUGGGCGUAAAGCGUGCGCAGGCGGCUCUUUAAGUCAGAUGUGAAAGCCCCGGGCUUAACCUGGGAAUUGCGUUUGAAACUGGAGAGCUGGAGUGUGGAAGAGGGGGGUGGAAUUCCAGGUGUAGCAGUGAAAUGCGUAGAGAUCGGGAGGAACAUCAGUGGCGAAGGCGGCCAUCUGGAUCAACACUGACGCUGAGGCACGAAAGCGUGGGGAGCAAACAGGG
rnacentral:rRNA from 1 species